CACAUUAAGCAUAUAUGCCAUAUAACCAUAGUAAGGAGUAUUGUAGGAUGACACAUGUACAAUAAGUUCACAAUUUAAAACCACAUAAAAUGCAAAAUAGGAGGAAAAUAAGGAAAUAUAUUAAUGUAGAUAGGAUUUUUUUUUUAAUUUCAAAAAAAAAUUAAAAAAAAACUUUCUAGCCGCCUAGCACCCCCUAGCCUGCCUAGAGCCCAGCCGAUUUUUCCAACCGAUUUGCAAGAAAACGCAUCGGAUCACCACCGCCUAGGCCAUUUUUUAGAACAUUGGAUUAUUUAGAGUCUAAAAAUUAUAUAUGUGAAGGAUUUUUUAGGACACUCUAAAUGUUUAGUACGAGUUUCUUUUGUGUAUAUUAAGUAUUUGAAGUAAUGCCUACUAGAUAAUAUCUCGAUAGAUUGUAUUGAUGACCCUCGAUAUCGCUCAUUAGAUUACUUAGGCAUAUAUCGUAUUUGUUGACAUGUGCGUAACAUAGUUUUGUCGAUUUCUGUUUGAAUGUAAAUUUUUUUUAUUUUACAAUAGAAUCCUCGAGGUUCGGAUUCUUGAUCCGCUAAUGCUUAUAUGAAAAUUCAUUAGCUGUAUAGAAUCUGGAAAGUGUAUUCCUUGCAAUGUAAAAGAAGAGAAAAGAAAAGUGAGAAGGCAUUUUUUGCAAACUAGAGAUUAAUAUUAGUUGAGAAGAAAUAAAUAAGGUUUAUUGAAUAAAGAAUGAUGGAAAAGGCAUGAAAGAGAUCAUCUCCGGAUUCAUUCCCCAUAAUUCAUCAAGUUCGAGGAUCCGGACCGUUGAAAUUU
rnacentral:lncRNA from 1 species